CGCGCAGGCGGCUUGGCAAGUCAGAUGUGAAAACCCACGGCUUAACCGUGGACGUGCAUUUGAAACUGUCAGGCUUGAGUAUCAGAGGGGAAAGUGGAAUUCCUGGUGUAGAGGUGAAAUUCGUAGAUAUCAGGAGGAAUACCAGUGGCGAAGGCGACUUUCUGGCUGAAUACUGACGCUGAGGCGCGAAAGCGUGGGGAGCAAACA
rnacentral:rRNA from 1 species